AGCUCCUUGAGCGAGAAAAGCUCCACACUACCUCCCACAGAGAAGCUGGUGUAGUGGUCCGGGAGGAUCACGAAUGCUGCAGCCCACCCGCCGGUGGGAGUGGCUGGGGGGAUUGCAAAGCCAGGAUUUUGAGGCAUCCCUGCCAAAGAAUGGGAGAGGGAGCAGAAUAUCGAGGAGUUCUGCACCCCUCAAGACCCACACAUCCAGAUCGACCCUCAUCUCCCAUGUGUGUGCUCUUGCGUCUUGGGCAGAAACCGGAGAGCUCUCUCCACUGCUGCUCGGGUGAAAUGUGUAUGAUUAAAAAGCCAUACUUAACUCUC